GUGCUCGCUUCAGCAGCACAUACAUUAAAACUGGAAGGAUACAGAGAAGAUUAGCUUGGCCCCUGCACAAGGAUGACUCGCAGAUUCAUGCAGCAUUCCACAUUUUU
ensembl:snRNA U6 U6 spliceosomal RNA